AGUGAACGCUGGCGGCGGGCCUAACACAUGCAAGUCGAACGGCCGCACAGUAAGAGUUUGCUCCUAAGGGUGGCGAGUGGCGGAUGGGUGAGGCAUACAUCGCCUACUUCUUUUUCGUGGGGGAUAUCGUAGGGCAACAUAUGCUACUACAGCAUAUGUUGUACGGGAGAAAGCAGGGGUUCUUCACACCUUGCGCGACUGUAAGAGCCGAUGCCGGAUUAGCUAGUUGGCUGGGUAAAGGCCCACCAAGGCGACGAUCCGUAGCUGAUCUGAGAGGAUGAUCAGCCACACUGGAACUGAGACACGGUCCAGACUCCUACGGGAGGCAGCAGUAGGGAAUAUUGGGCAAUGGGCGAAAGCCUGAUCCAGCCAUACCGCGUGAGUGAUGAAGGCCUUCGGAUUGUAAAGCUCUGUUGUUAGGGAAGAAAAGCAGCGUAUGUAACCCCGGCUGUUCUGACGGUACCCAAAGAGUAAGCACCGGCUAACUUCGUG
rnacentral:rRNA from 1 species